GAAUGGACUGUAUCAUAUAUAUAAUAGAUGUAUGUGUUGCCAUCUUUAUCUAGGAAACCAAAGGUCAUAUAAUUCAGAAUGUGCAAGUCAGCUAGAAAUAAAAAGUAACCAAUAGGAAAAUUGUUGGCCAGCAUCAGCUAUUCAGUGACAAACAAUGAAGUAUAAGAUUGAGAAACUAAGGCAGAGAAUAAAGGAAAUAUAAGAUUACAGCCCCAAUCCAAUGUUGAAGAGCCAAAAUAUGUGUUUUGGCACACAUACUUAUUCGAGCCUUUUAACCAUUCUCUAGCAGAAUAAUACAAAUGGCUUGCAGAUAUUCAAGGAAUUAAGGAACUGGCUAGCUAAUAGUACAACCACACACCGGGGUUUUAGUCGUAAACAUACGGGCCUCCAGCUAAUGUUCUUAUCUCUCCGCUUCCUAAGUUAGUAGAUCACUAUCACCUCUACCUGUUUCGGCCUAUCACCUGGAUCAAGUACCUGGAACUGAAAAGUAAACACUUCGCAAACACACUCAUGAGAAAUCAGUAUAUACCUCAAGUCUUGCUUUCUUUCGAAGUUUUAGCCGUUCUCAAUGAGAUCAGCUCGGAUGUUUGCGGCACUUAGUUUAUGCAAAUAACGAAUCGCCCUCUUUCCAAUGUUUGCCAUGUCUAUGACCUGCGAAGAAACAAAGUUUCACACAGUCAGCAAACCUGAACGAAGAAAAGCAAAUCCAAAACUAUAUAAGCUCUUUAUACGUGGGAAAAACUUUAGGAAGCUUAAUACUUCAUUCUAAAGGCCUAUAAUCCUAACAGCUUCAUGUAAAAGUGCCUAUAUUAAGUAAUUAGCACCAAGGCUUCAAACAUAAAUUCCAUUCUGAACACCAGUAAAUCAUGUCAUAACAUUAAAAUUGGUUUGGUACCUGAGCAGCUAAAUCUACUGAUUUUGACUCCGAUAGGAUUAUACUUCCUAAGUACCUAUCACCACAAAAGAAUAUGAUAAACCUAGAAAGAAUUACCCAAUUACAACAGAAAAUCAUCCGAAAGAACCGCGGAAGGAAAAAAAUAAUAAGGGGACUCAAAUUCACCUUGAAAUAGAAGUCUUUGGCUUGGAAUAAUUGAAGAAACAACUGUGAUUCAGCCUUCAAAAUUAGUUUGUGUAAUGAAUCCAAAGUCUAUCAAGACAAUUUAUCAAACUGGUAAGCGUUGAGAAGGGGAGGACUAAGCGUCUGUGUGCCCUCACCUCUGACGACGAGCAUUGCGUUGCUGUGUAGCCAGUCGUCGAGCUUCAGCUACCUCUUCUGUCACAGCAAUUCUAGGCCUCCUUCUCUUGCGUGGCGGCACUGCCAUCUCCCGAGAAACAGAUGAUGUGGAGGAAAGGAAGCACGAUGAUGAAGGAAGGGUCCACAGAAUGCCUAGUCAGCCACCUAUCUGCAGC
rnacentral:lncRNA from 1 species